rnacentral:rRNA from 1 species
AUGAACGCUAGCGACAGGCCUAACACAUGCAAGUCGAGGGGCAGCACAAGGAGCAAUCUGAGGUGGCGACCGGCGCACGGGUGAGUAACACGUAUGCAACCUGCCUGUAAGCGGGGAAUAACCCGUUGAAAGACGGACUAAUACCGCAUAAUACUAAAUUACUGCAUGGUAAUUUAUUUAGACAUUUAUGGCUUACAGAUGGGCAUGCGCAUGAUUAGCUAGUUGGAGAGGUAACGGCUCCCCAAGGCAACGAUCAUUAGGGGUUCUGAGAGGAAGGUCCCCCACACUGGUACUGAGACACGGACCAGACUCCUACGGGAGGCAGCAGUGAGGAAUAUUGGUCAAUGGACGAGAGUCUGAACCAGCCAAGUCGCGUGCAGGAAGAAUGUCCUAAUGGAUUGUAAACUGCUUUUGCAGGGGAAUAAAGUGCAUCACGUGUGAUGUUUUGUAUGUACUCUGCGAAUAAGGAUCGGCUAACUCCGUGCCAGCAGCGGC